GUAAAGUGGCGCCACGGGUGAGUAACGCGUAGAUAACCUGUCCCAGGUGUUCGGAUAGCCCUUCGAAAGGGGGGAAUUAAUACCGGAUACGUUAGUCUGUUAUUAGGCAGAUUAAGAAAAGGUGGGCCUCUAUUUUAUAAGCUAUCGCAUUUGGAGGGGUCUGCGUACCAUUAGUUUGUUGGUGGGGGUAAUGGCCUACCAAGACUUCGAUGGUUAGCGGGGUCUGAGAGGAUGAUCCGUCACACUGGCACUGAAACACGGGCCAGACUCCUACGGGAGGCAGCAGUGAGGGAAUAUUGCGCAAUGGGGGAAACCCUGACGCAGCGACGCCGCGUGGGUGAGGAAGGCUUUCGGGUUGUAAAGCCCUGUCAGAAGGGAAGAAAUGCAUGCAGGUUAAUAUCCUGUAUGUUUGACGGUACCUUCAAAGAAAGCACCGGCUAACUCCGUGCCAGCAGCCGCGGUAAUACGGAGGGUGCAAACGUUGUUCGGAAUCACUGGGCGUAAAGGGCGCGCAGGCGGUUUGAUUAGUCAGAUGUGAAAGCCCACGGCUUAACCGUGGAAGUGCAUUUGAAACUGUCAGACUUGAGUACCAGAGGGGGUGGUGGAAUUCCCGGUGUAGAGGUGAAAUUCGUAGAUAUCGGGAGGAAUACCGGUGGCGAAGGCGACUACCUGGCUGGAUACUGACGCUGAGGCGCGAAAGCGUGGGGAGCAAACAGGAUUAGAUACCCUGGUAGUCCACGCCGUAAACGAUGUGAACUAGGUGUAGGGGGUGUUGAUCCCUUCUGUGCCGGAGCUAACGCAUUAAGUUCACCGCCUGGGGAGUACGGUCGCAAGAUUAAAACUCAAAUGAAUUGACG
rnacentral:rRNA from 1 species